CUUAUAACCAGCAAAUUGAUCCAAAUCUGAAGCAUAUCGAUCCAUGUCCUUCUCCCCCACCCCUAAAGCGUAUCGAUGUCCUUCUCCCCCAAAUCGAUUCAGCCUUAUCUGAGGUCUGGAAGCGGUCGUAGGCAACAACAAUUUGAUAUCUCCCCCAAUUUCGAAGCGGUGUCUCCGCCCAUUGCUGCCUCUCUCUGCCUCCCCCUCUCUCUCAUAUCCCAGCUCCACUUCUCUGCCUCCCUCUCUCUCAUCUCCAAAUUUUUUUGAUUUAAUGGAGGACAGAGGAACUAGAUCUGUUUUCUCUCUCCUCCGACACCCACUUCCGGUCACCACCGUGACUCACCUCCACCAUCACAGACCUCACCGACCUCCGACGAGUUUAACGCUGCCUCGAGGAGUAAGUGUAGGUCAGGGAAUUUCGACAAGGCAUGGAGAAAUUUGUUUAAAACGUGGUGGCCGGAGCUAGCUUAAUCAUGUUGCAGAGCUAGCUUCGCUGCCCUCAUUUGAUGGGUGCCUUGGUGAAAUCAAGAUUUCAGACUCUUUAUUGGAAUUGAUAGGUUGUGAGGGUGACAUGGCUACUUCAACUUGUGAAUAUUCCAAACUAUAUCACCAUUGUCUACACUUUGGUUACUUUGUGCAAUGCCUGAGACUUCAAAAUGUUUUCUGUGAUGAAGAAAUUUGUCACCUAUUGAGGAACAGCAAAUAGCAGAGCUUGGAACUAAGGUGGAUAAGAUCCAAGGAGCAUAUUACUGGAUUAUGCAAGCUUCUCAACCAGAACAGUGAAAGUUUAACGUCGCUUGAAUUCAUUCACUGUACACUUUCUUCAGCUACUAUAUAUCACAGCUUCUAUCACAGCAAGUUGUAGUUCUCUAUCCCCAACAAUUCGGUAAGGAGAUUAUAAAACGAGUGAUGUAAAUUUUAUUAAAACAAGUUGAUAGCAGUGAUUGUUCAAUGAUUCCAUAUAAUUAGGAUUCCUAUGUUUUUUGAAUCCAUUUGGUAUGUCCGAUGUCACUAGUGCAUUUAAUAUAAAAUAGACCAAA